GGUUAAGCGACUAAGCGUACACGGUGGAUGCCCUGGCAGUCAGAGGCGAUGAAGGACGUGCUAAUCUGCGAUAAGCGUCGGUGAGGUGAUAUGAACCGUUAUAACCGGCGAUUUCCGAAUGGGGAAACCCAGUGUGUUUCGACACACUAUCAUUAACUGAAUCCAUAGGUUAAUGAGGCGAACCGGGGGAACUGAAACAUCUAAGUACCCCGAGGAAAAGAAAUCAACCGAGAUUCCCCCAGUAGCGGCGAGCGAACGGGGAGGAGCCCAGAGCCUGAAUCAGUGUGUGUGUUAGUGGAAGCGUCUGGAAAGGCGCGCGAUACAGGGUGACAGCCCCGUACACAAAAAUGCACAUAUUGUGAGCUCGAUGAGUAGGGCGGGACACGUGGUAUCCUGUCUGAAUAUGGGGGGACCAUCCUCCAAGGCUAAAUACUCCUGACUGACCGAUAGUGAACCAGUACCGUGAGGGAAAGGCGAAAAGAACCCCGGCGAGGGGAGUGAAAAAGAACCUGAAACCGUGUACGUACAAGCAGUGGGAGCCUCUUAAUGGGGUGACUGCGUACCUUUUGUAUAAUGGGUCAGCGACUUAUAUUCUGUAGCAAGGUUAACCGAAUAGGGGAGCCGAAGGGAAACCGAGUCUUAACUGGGCGUUAAGUUGCAGGGUAUAGACCCGAAACCCGGUGAUCUAGCCAUGGGCAGGUUGAAGGUUGGGUAACACUAACUGGAGGACCGAACCGACUAAUGUUGAAAAAUUAGCGGAUGACUUGUGGCUGGGGGUGAAAGGCCAAUCAAACCGGGAGAUAGCUGGUUCUCCCCGAAAGCUAUUUAGGUAGCGCCUCGUGAAUUCAUCUCCGGGGGUAGAGCACUGUUUCGGCAAGGGGGUCAUCCCGACUUACCAACCCGAUGCAAACUGCGAAUACCGGAGAAUGUUAUCACGGGAGACACAC
rnacentral:rRNA from 1 species